AUUGAUCGCUGGCGGCAGGCCUAACACAUGCAAGUCGAGCGAUUUGCGUACGGGUGAUUAAUGUAUGGGGACUGCCUUUUAGAGGGGGAUCAGUACUGGAAAUCGUUGCUAAUACCGCACACUAUCGGAUAACCCAUAUGGGAUUAGCUAGUAGGUGGGGUAAAGGCUCACCUAGGAGACGAUCUCUAGCUGGUCUGAGAGGAUGAUCAGCAACACUGGGACUGAGACACGGCCCAGACACCUACGGAGGCAGCAGUGGGGGAUAUUGCUCAAUGGGCGAAAGCCAGAUGGAGCCAUGCCGAGGGUAUGAAGAAGGCCUUAGGGUUGUAAAGUACUUUCAGCGAACAGGCGUUGCCUGCAGAAGAAAGAACGGCUAACUCCGUGCCAGCAGCCGCGGUAAUAC
rnacentral:rRNA from 1 species